CCCGCCCCUUCGACCUGGACAACUACACCAGCACCAAUUGCCUGUGCCCAGCCACGGCCACAGGGGGAAAGUGCCCUGCUGGCUCCUACUGACCAGAGGGAAGCCCAGAGCCCAUGCCCUGCCCACCAGGCUCUUUCUGUGGCACCUCUGCUGCAGGAUCACACAAGCCCACGCCCUGUCCCGCCGGCACCUUCUCCAGCCUCCCUGAGCAAACCAUGCUCUCUGCAUGCCAGUCCUGCCCACCGGGCUUCUACUGCAAGGAGGCUGGUCUCCAGGCCCCCAGUGGGCAGUGCCCGGCAGGAGACUGUGCUGCAGGGCACUGGUGCAAGGGAGGAGCCGCCAUCAAGGACCCCACCGACGGGGCACGAGGGCUCCUCUGCCCGCCUGGACACUACUGCCUCAAGGGGGCGCCCAUCCCAUCCCGAUGCCCCCCCGGCACCUGGUCUGAGGAGGGGAAUGGAGCCCCCGAAGGAUGCCGGGACUGCGCUGGAGGAGAGCUCUGCUCUGGGAGCCACCCGCCCCUCCGGCCCACAGCCUGCCACCCAGGGUGGGCACACAGUGUGUCUGCUCCGGGCUCCCAGGGACAGGGAUGCUAUCCACAGAGUGAGGAGCCAGAAAGCAAGGGGGGGAAACCCGUGCUGGGCAGAGAAGAGUCACCCCAACUGCCCUGUGGGGCCUGUGGGCCACAUGCAGAGGUCCCACGCCUGGGACCUGACUGCUUUGCCGACAAGGUUGCUGAAAGGACACCAGUGUCCAGACACGUGGCAGCGCACCACACCUCUGCCACCUCCCAUCUCGCCCACCCGACAGGGCCAGGCUAGAGGCAGGAGGAGGCCAUGAGGGGGCAGAUUCGCAGAGAGCAGGCAGGCAAGGGUCCCAGCCCCAGGGCCUGACUGGGGGUGCCCCCGCCUGCUGGAAGGCCGUCGGGGCCCACAGGCUGCCUGCUCCUUGAGGACGCCCACUGGCUGAGGCCCUUUCGCUUGGCCCACGUUUUUCCAGCAUUUCCUGCACGGGGGGAACUGUCCCUGCCAGUCCCGUGGAGGGACUCUCUGGGAGAUUCUGCCGCC
rnacentral:lncRNA from 10 species